CCUCAUAGCAGUGUUCUGGAAUUCUGUGUGAGGGACAAAAAUUCAGAUCCUCACAGCAGUGUUCUGGAAUCCUGUGUGAGGGA
rfam:Homo sapiens unplaced genomic contig, GRCh38 reference primary assembly.